rnacentral:rRNA from 1 species
GACGAACGCUGGCGGCGUGCUUAACACAUGCAAGUCGAACGGAAAGGCCCUGCUUUUGUGGGGUGCUCGAGUGGCGAACGGGGGAGUAACACGUGAGUAACAUGCCCUUGACUUUGGGAUAACUUCAGGAAACUGGGGCUAAUACCGGAUAGGAGAUACUGCUGCAUGGUGGGGAUUGGAAAGUUUCGGCGGUUGGGGCUGGUCUCGCUGCUUAUGAGCUUGUUGGGCGGGUAGUGGUUUACCAGGGCUUUGACGGGUAGCCGGCCUGAGAGCGGGAACGGCCACAUGGGGCCUGAGAGACGCACCAGACUCCAACGGUAGGCAGUGGUGGAGAAUAUGGCACAGCGGGCGGAAGCGUGAUGCAGCAGCGCCGCGUGCGUGAUGACGGCUUUCGGGUUGUGAACAGAUGUCUCCUGUGACGUAGCGGGAGUGACGGUAAUGGGUAAAGAAGCACCGGCUAACUACGUG